rnacentral:misc_RNA from 1 species
AUAUAGAUUUGAAAAUUGGUGAAAACAAAAGGGCUAUAUUGCUACAAGCAAGACACCAGUUCUUGUCUCAAUGUAAGUGUAUGCAUAUGUGUGUAUGUAUGGGUUAGAUGUAGUGUAUUUAUAUACACAAGUAAUUGAAAGAUUUUAAUUUUAAAUGGAUAGUAGUAUGAAAAUAGAAAAAUUUUCCAAUAAUAGAUAUGAAUCAUAAUACAGAUGAAUAAAAGACAACUAUGGUAAUA